UACGUAGGGUGCGAGCGUUGUCCGGAAUUAUUGGGCGUAAAGAGCUCGUAGGCGGUGUGUCGCGUCGGCCGUGAAAACCUGGGGCUCAACUCUGGGCGUGCGGUCGAUACGGGCAUCACUGGAGUUCGGCAGGGGAGACUGGAAUUCCUGGUGUAGCGGUGAAAUGCGCAGAUAUCAGGAGGAACACCGGUGGCGAAGGCGGGUCUCUGGACAGUUCCUGACACUGAGGCACGAAGGCCAGGGGAGCAAACGGG
rnacentral:rRNA from 1 species